rnacentral:rRNA from 1 species
AGAACCCAGACCGGCAGCUAAGGUCCCCAAUUCAUCACUAAGUGGUAAAGGAUGUGGGGAGCACUUAAACAGCCAGGAGGUUGGCUUAGAAGCAGCCAUCCUUUAAAGAAAGCGUAACAGCUCACUGGUCGAGUGAACCUGCGCCCGAAAAUUCAACGGGUCUAAGUGAUGAACCGAAGCUCCGGGGUCAGCGAAAGCUGGCGGUAGGCGAGUAUUGUCUAUGCGGUGAAGGCAUACGGAAACGAGUGUUGGAGCGUAGACAAGAGCUGACGUUGACAUGAGUAACGAAUAAAUAAUGAGUUAAUUUUUAUUAUCAUUAUCACCGUAAAUCUAAAAGUUUUCAACGUUAAGUUAUACUUCGUUGAGUUAAUCGGUCUCUAAGUUUUUUAUUGAAAAUAGAAUGAUGAG